rnacentral:lncRNA from 1 species
CAGAUCAUCUAUCGCCUGAGAGCACAGCGGGAGGGACAAUGAUCGGGAUAAAAACCCAGGCAUUAUUCGAUCCAGUAGCUGUAACCCGCUUUGGGUCCCCUCCCAUUGUGUGGGAGCUCUGUUUUCACUCUGUUAAAUCUUGCAACUUCACACUCUUCUAGUCCGUUUUUGUUCUGGCUUGUUCUGGCUCGAGCUGAGCUUUCAGUCGCCGUCCACCACUGCUGAUCACUGCCCUUGCAGACCCGCUGCUGACUUCCACCCCACCAGAUCCAGCAGCGUGUCUCCUACGCUUCUGAUCCAGGAGGCGCCCAUUGCCGUUCCUAAUGGGGCUAGAGGCUCGCCGUUGUUCCUGCACGGCUAAGUGCCCGGGUUCAUCCUAAUCAAGCUGAACACUAGUUGCUGGGUUCCACAGUUCUCUUCUGUGACCCACGGUUUCUAAUAGAGCUAUAACACUCACCGCAUGGCCCAAGGUUCCAUUCCUUGGAAUCUGUGAGGCCAAGAACCCCAGGUCAGAGAACAAAAGGCUUCCCGCCAUCUUGGGAGCAGCGCCCUUGGGAGCAGCCUGCCACCAUCUUGGGAACUCUAAGAAAAAAGACCUGCAGCCACUUGAAGAUGAAAAGGUCAAGUCUGAAGUUCAAGCUUUUCUUGAUGUGCUGCUCUGGGAGUAAUAUCCCCACCUUGGUAGGAAGUACAACUGAGUUAACUGUAAUUUCUCAGUAUUUUAUUUAUGCUCCAGUUUUCCCCAUUCACUUCAAUAUAGGUUUAAUUCUUCCUUUCAUUUCUAAUACAGUCAUUGCCCCUUUGUACACUAUAUCUGUCUGAUUUCUUUAUUUCUCAGGACAUGCAAAAUUGCAAAUAUUUAAUUGCACCUUAUGUUUUCACUAUACCUGCACCAAUAUUUUAACUCAAAACUAUACUAAAGAACUUUUUGAGCCAUCGUUAAGUCGUCACACAGUGCCAUAUAACAUAUUUCCUUCUGCAGUAAUUGAAAUAAAUAUAGUGCCAAUACUCAUAUUUGCAAGAUUGUCUCUAUAUCAAAUUGUUUACAUGUGAGCAAAAAAUGUUUGCACCUGUCUUCCCACAGCCUGUGGGAUGAAUUUUUCAUACUCUAACGACUGAAUUUUGAGACUUCAUUUUCCCCACAAUUCCCAAGUUAUUUCAGAUAUUCAAUUGGAACCAGAGAAUUCUCUAUACAGAAGAUAACAAGGUUAUUUUUCUCUGGGCUUAGACCAGGUCAUAGUCAAUGGCCUGGACAAGAAGUGUCUAAUUUAAUGCCUGAAACAGAGCAGCUAACUGUCUCUAUGGCUCAAUGUCACAAAAGUCUGGAGACACCAAGAAAAUGAUAAAUUGAAAUAUCUCAGUUAGAAAUUCUCAUGAUGAAAGGACCAGGGUCAGAAAAAAUUUAAAAUAAUAAUAAUAAUAAAUAUAAAUAAAAAGAAGAAAUUCUCGCUUGCUUAUACCAUUGCUGUAAGGUCAAUUAAAUUGUGUAAAAAUUAUGUUAUUAUAAAGCAAAUUGUUGACCAUGAUAAUUUAAUAAGAAGAUCAUAUACUAAACAACAUUCUUUUAAAUUGUAGAUAAAAUUAAUGAAAGUCAGAGUAACAACUCCAAAGUUACAUUAUCUAAUAUGGUAAGCAUUAGUCACAUAUGUCCAUUUAGCUAUAAAAUCUAGAUUAAUUAAAAGCAAAUAAGAUUUAAAAAUCAAUUCUUCAACUGAACUUGAUAUAUUUCAUGUACUCAACAGAGAUAUACAUUGUCAUCAUCACAGAAAGUUUUAUUGGACAGUGCUGAUAAAGGAUAAAGAAUUACACUCCAACUUAAAUUUUACUUUAUGUUGCAAAGUAAUUUUUCUUUUUUAAGUUCAUGGAAGCCAGCAUAAAUGCCUUUGAGUGGUCAAAGACAAAGAUAGUGAUUAGUUUAGAUAAACAAACUCAGCUAGUUUUGCACCAAUAAAUGAUCACUUUAAUGUGUGUCAAUCAUAUCCCGUAUGGGCACAUGUAGGACAGUGGUCCCAUAAGAUUAUAAUGCUGUAUUUUUACUGUGCCUUUUUUACUUUUAUAUAUGCUUAGAUACACAAAUACUUGUCAUUGUAUUACAAUUACUGACUGUAUUCAAUGCAGUAGCAUGUUGUACAGGUUUAUAGCCUAUGAGCAAUAGGUUACACCAUAUAGCCAUGGUGUGUGGUAAGCAAUAGCGUCUAGGUUUGUGGAGGUGCAUUCCAUGGUGUUUACACAACAA